UACGAGAGGCCCAAACGUUAUUCGGAUUUACUGGGCUUAAAGAGUUCGUAGGCGGCGCAGAAAGUAGGGUGUGAAAGCCCUCGGCUCAACCGAGGAAUUGCGCCCUAAACUACUGUGCUUGAGGGACCUAGAGGUGAGCAGAACUGAUGGUGGAGCGGUGAAAUGCAUAGAUAUCGUCAAGAACACCGAUAGCGAAGGCAGCUUACUGGGCUGUAACUGACGCUGAUGCACGAAAGUGUGGGGAUCAAACAGG
rnacentral:rRNA from 1 species